rnacentral:lncRNA from 1 species
CGGCUGGGGGCUUUAUUAGGGGGCACCGGGGUCUGCUUUCCGACUCCCUUCCGACUCCGCGCCUGCGCAGGAAGCGAUUUGGGGAGUGUUGUGAAUUCCGAGGGCUCCACACUUAAGAGGUUGUACACUCACCUGUCUACCUGGACUCCAAUUUCCAUAUUUCCAGCCACUUGAGGACUGAGAGGUGGAUGAUAAACCCUGUCAUAGUGGAGCAAGUUCAGGUGUUUAACCGCUGUUAUGGGGGAUCUGCCUUUUCUCCCUCUUCUUUCUUACUUCCAUAAGUAUGUAUGUGCAGAGAUUGAAAAAUAACCUUGAGAGAGUCCAUCCAUCUAACUCCAGGCAGAAUAGUUGCCUACUGCCCCAACCCCACCAAAUGUUCCAGCACCUCUGAUAUUACCUCACAUGGCAAGAGGGCUUUGAAGAUGUGAUUGAGUCAAGGAUCUUGAAUGGGGAGAUUAUCCUGAAUUAUUCAGCUGGACCCAGUGUAAUCACAAAGGUUUUUCAAAGAUGGAAGAGAGGCAGAAGAGCCAGAAAAGGAUAUGUGACAAUGGAGUCAGUGUCAGAGUUGGAGUGACGUGAUGUGAGAAGGAUUCAACCUGCUGUUUCUGGCUUUGAGGAUGAAAGAAGGGGCCAUGAGCCAAGCAAUACAGGUGGCUUCUUUCAAGAAGUUGGAAAAGUGGUAAUAUUUUAUGUUAUUUUGGUUUGAUUUUUGUUUGUGGCAUAUGGCUCUGCUGUCCUGUGACUCUAAGUAGAAGAGAAAAUAGUGCCAAUAAUUCUUCAUGGAGAUGCACCUCUCUCAAGUCUUGAACAAUGUUUGAGAUUUCCCCAGGCCACCAUCACUGGAUUUGGCUAUUUGACUUGCUGUAGUCAAUGGAAUGUGAGUGAAAAGUGACUCUGUACCAGUGGGGAGGCAAAGCCUUAAAAGACCCAGCAAAUUUCUUCCAGCCCUUUUGUGCUUCUGCCAAAAGAAUACUGUGAGCAAUCAGUGCCCUUAAGCCUGGGCCUCAGAACGAGAGAUAUGGAGCAAACCUGAACCUGAACAGCAGCCUACAAUCAAGCCAGGAUGACCCUGCAAAGCCCAGCCAACGAUAGCAAAGCCACAGCAGACUUGUAGACCAAUGAGCAUGAAAUAAAUUGCAUUGAAAGCUA